AGCGAACGCUGGCGGCAGGCCUAACACAUGCAAGUCGAACGAAGUCUUCGGACUUAGUGGCGGACGGGUGAGUAACACGUGGGAACGUGCCUUUAGGUUCGGAAUAACUCAGGGAAACUUGUGCUAAUACCGAGUGUGCCCUUCGGGGGAAAGAUUUAUCGCCUUUAGAGCGGCCCGCGUCUGAUUAGCUAGUUGGUGAGGUAAAGGCUCACCAAGGCGACGAUCAGUAGCUGGUCUGAGAGGAUGAUCAGCCACAUUGGGACUGAGACACGGCCCAAACUCCUACGGGAGGCAGCAGUGGGGAAUCUUGCGCAAUGGGCGAAAGCCUGACGCAGCCAUGCCGCGUGAAUGAUGAAGGUCUUAGGAUUGUAAAAUUCUUUCACCGGGGACGAUAAUGACGGUACCCGGAGAAGAAGCCCCGGCUAACUCCGUGCCAGCAGCCGCGGUAAUAC
rnacentral:rRNA from 1 species